UAAAUGGGGACCCAACAUCGGUAACAAUAAUUAGGAUGAGCAUGGCUCUGAUACCAUGAUAAGAAUGAAUAUUGGGCCUACCUCAACCCAAAAGCUAGCUUGUGAGGUAAGGAUCGCCCAAGCCAUAUAAGGAGACCAAGGACCUCAAAUCCCUCCGAUGUGGGACAACUCAACAAUAUAUAUGUGUGUGUGUGUGUGUGUUAAUGUGAAAGGUUACGGUGGAUGUAACAUGUAUGUUAAUGUGAAAGUUAUGGUGGAUGUAAACCAUGAGAGGCCAAGCUGCUACAAUCAACAGGUCAGUUUUUAUAAUUGAUUUCACAAACUGCUUAUGCUGAAUUCUGGUUUAGUUGCCUUUGAAUGAACUCUUUGAAUUUGUAUUUUAUUUGUCAGUCAAUGUGUUUCAUCACCUUUAAGUUGGUUGGUCUUAGAAACCGGCUUUGAGUUACUAUUUGAAGAACCUACUUGCUUCCCUUCCGUUGGAUGGCCAGAUAUGCAUUUAUUAGUGCAACAUGCUUUUGUUGACCAUACGUGCUACUCUUUAUGUAAAACUACUCUAUGCGGUUGUAUUCUGUAGAUUUUGUUUCGGAGUA
rnacentral:lncRNA from 1 species